UACAUUGUUUUUAUGGGAAAUGGGUGGGUCCAAAACGUUUCGGAGAGGACUGAGUCUAAACAUUUCCAGGUAAGGGGCGGGCUAGCACUUCAAGAAGAAGGUGUGGGAGUGAGGGCUAACGUUACCUUGGAGUGCAGGUGUUUGUGUGCCCGCGUGCAGUGUGUGCGUUAGAGGAGGCCCCGUCAUGGGAGAGGAGGAGACAGAUUGGGUAGAGUCAUUGGCCUUAGUCCUUCUGUUCCCUCUGACCUCAGGAACCCCGAGUGCUGUGUCCAGAUUCUGCAGGGAAGGUUUGCUGGGACCCUGGUCCCAUCCUGCCAGUGGAAUGUCGGCCACACUGGAUCUGAAAUCGAAGGAGGAGAAGGAUGCUGAGCUAGAUAAGAGGAUCGAGGCUCUUCGGCGGAAGAAUGAGGCCCUCAUCCGGCGCUACCAGGAGAUUGAGGAGGACCGUAAAAAAGCUGAACUCGAGGGAGUAGCGGUGACAGCUCCCCGGAAGGGCCGCUCAGUGGAGAAGGAGAAUGUGGCAAUGGAAAUGGAGAAGAACCUGGGUCCCUCCCGGAGGUCUCCUGGGACCCCUCGGCCCCCAGGGGCCAGCAAGGGAGGCCGGAUCCCCCCUCAGCAUGGAGGCCGGGCAGGCAUGGGCCGGGCAGGCAUGGGCCGGGCAUCCCGCAGCUGGGAAGACAGUCCCGGGGAGCAGCCUCGAGGAGGAGCUGGGGGCCGCGGCCGGAGGGGUCGGGCCAGGGGGUCCCCUCAUCUCUCUGGAACUGGAGAUGCCUCAGCUGCCGACCGCAAAUCCAAGGAGUGGGAGGAGCGGCGCAAGCAGAACAUUGAGAAGAUGAAUGAAGAGAUGGAGAAGAUUGCAGAGUACGAGCGCAACCAGCGGGAAGGCGUGCUGGAGCCCAACCCAGUGCGGAACUUCCUGGACGACCCCCGGCGACGCAGCGGGCCCCUGGAGGAGCCUGAGCGGGACCGUCGGGAAGGCAGCCGCCGGCACGGGCGCAACUGGGGGGGCCCCGACUUCGAGCGGGUGCGUUGCGGCCUCGAGCAGGAGCGGCAGGGCCGCCGGGCCGGCCUGGGUGGCGCUGGGGACAUGACGCUCUCCAUGACGGGCCGAGAGCGGUCCGAGUACCUGCGCUGGAAGCAGGAGCGGGAGAAGAUCGACCAGGAGCGGCUGCAGCGGCACCGCAAGCCCACCGGCCAGUGGCGGAGGGAGUGGGAUGCUGAGAAGACUGAUGGCAUGUUCAAGGAUGGCCCAGCCGUGGCCCUGGAACCAUCCCACCGCUAUGAUGACCAGGCCUGGGCCCGGCCUCCCAAGCCCCCCACUUUCAGGGAAUUCCUGUCCCAGCACAAAACUGAGGUCAGCCGUAGAAAGAGGAAGAGCGGCCGACCUCAGGCCAAGGCAGCCCCCCGUGCCUACAGUGACCACGAUGACCGCUGGGAGACGCAGGAGGCAGUGUCCGCAGCCCCUGAGCCCACACAGCCCUCUACCCCUGAGGAGGCGCCCAUGCAGCCGCCCGAGAGCCCGGCCCCUGCCCAUCAGCCUCCUGAGGACGAGGACGAGGGUGAGGAGGGCGAGGGCCAGGAGGGCGAGGGUGACGACGGGGAGGCCGAGGAGUGGGAAGACAUGAGUGAGGAUGCGGAGGAGGAAGCGGUCGAGGAAGAAGAAGAGGCUGAUGAGGAGGGAGAAGAACCAGCCCGGGACCACCGGCCCCACGAGCCUGAGCCCAGCGGGAGCCCCAGCGGGAGCCCCAGCGGAAGCCCCAGCGGGAGCCCCAGCGGGAGCCCCAGCGGGGAACGUGGCGACGAAGAGCCCGCCAGGCCGGAGGAGCCCCUGCCACUCCCCCAGGCCCCUGCCACGCCUUCCAGCCCCUUCUCGCCCACCGGGGGCCACCAGCCUGUGUCCGACUGGGGUGAAGAGAUGGAGCUGAAUUCUCCCCGGACCGCCCAUCCGGCUGACGCCCUCUCUCCGGGAGGAGACCAGCCAGCCCCUGCCUCCUUGAAGAGUGGGCCCAGCCUCCCAAGAACCCAGAAAGCUGAAGAGGAGGGGUCUGAGACAGCUCCAGCAGGUGGAAGCCAGAUUGUGAACCACGGACCUCCCCCAGGAGUGGGAUUAGGAUUUCGAGGCAGAGCCAAGGAAGGUCUGGUUAGGACUCAGGAGAGGCGGACCCUGAGGGCCAGGAGACGGCGGAGAUCACCGACUUCCAGAGGGCCUCCCCGAAUUCCUGAAGACGCUGCUGGGAGGGGACUGAAGCUUCCCCGCCUUGAUGGGGAGGGGGAGGCAGGAGGGGCUUAGUCUGGAUCUCCGGGCUCUGCUCUCUCGUCCCCGGAGCCCACUCUGGACCCCAUGGUUUUAGAGAGGGAGAAAUUGAGGGUGGUGGGGGAGGAGAUGGGGGAGGGGGCGUGAUUGGUGUGUGGGGCGGAUCUGGAGCUUUGGGUUGUGAGCUUAGACCUCAGGACACAAAGUAUGGAGAAGGAGGCACGUCCCGUGAGGGGGCGUGGUUAGGGUGACUGGGUGGGGCCAGAAUUCUGGUGUAUGGAGUUAAACCAUGGGACGGAGGAUGUUAGGAUGUGGGAUGGAACCACGAGAGCAGGUUUAGAUGGGAAUCCGUUAUGCCGGUGUGGGGCGCAGCCAGCGGCGGAGGGCGUGGUUUAGAAUGGGGUGCGCAAACUAGUGGAGAAAGGAGGUGGAGCCUGGACCGAAGAUGGGUGAAGAUGGACCGCCGGCCCUCGAGAGCCCGGCGCCCCCGCCGCGGAUGCGCCGUUCCCGGAUUGGGGUCUGGCUCCCUCUUCAUGACAUCGUGUAGCGUCUCCGGAGCCGUCAUCCUGAAGAAUGGGGGGCGAAGAGGGUCUGGCUCUGGGCCUCGCCCCUCGCAGCUUCUCCGCCGUCAGGCCGGUCCUCCACCAUCUGGCCGACCGCAAACUGAUCUUUGCCUCCUGACCCUCCCUCUUUAGGGUUCUGAGUACAGAGUCUUCAGCCCGCCCCCCUUCUCCCUGAAUCUCCGUAUCCAUCUUCCACAUGCAAUAAACUCAGCCCCAGCUGCC